UACGUAGGGUGCAAGCGUUAAUCGGAAUUACUGGGCGUAAAGGGUGCGCAGGCGGCUCCGCAUGUCGGGCGUGAAAUCCCCGGGCUUAACCUGGGAAUUGCGUCCGAAACUAUGGAGCUGGAGUGUGGCAGAGGGAGGUGGAAUUCCACGUGUAGCGGUGAAAUGCGUAGAGAUGUGGAGGAACACCGAUGGCGAAGGCAGCCUCCUGGGCCAACACUGACGCUCAUGCACGAAAGCGUGGGAGCAAACAGG
rnacentral:rRNA from 1 species